GGCUUUGGGUAAUUGAGCACGGCAACGGUCGUGUUAGGAAGGUCCAUGCUCGCACGGGCUGCGAUGCCCGUAGUGUUUGUGCUCGCUGAAAAAAUAAGGCGGGGCACCGGCUUGCCCGGUGACGGCGGAAAAACGGGCUACGGUUUUACUAUGCCUCAGUAUUCCUGAAAAGUGCCACAGUGACGAAGCGUUAAGGGAAACCUUAACGGUGGAACGCGGUAAACCCCUCAAGCGGUAAACCCAAACUACGGUAG
rnacentral:RNase_P_RNA from 1 species